rnacentral:lncRNA from 1 species
GCUCUGGGUGUUUGAUUUGGGAAUAGAGGCAUAACAUGUUGACUUUUGUGGGAAAAGACUCUGGAAAGCAUAGAGACCUUCUGAGGUGAGUGACCCUUUGAGGAGAAUGGUGUUAGAACCCUGUGAUUUCACAAAACAUUCAUUAGGGUGGAAUUCAAAGUAACACUUGUUAUCUUUGGCAAAUUGAGAGACACUAAUUAGAUUUUUA